GGAACUUUCCAGCGCGAGUGAAGAGGAGAACAAGUGCGCAAAAGGAAGGACGCUGGAAAAUACCACCAGCAAGCGAUUGGAAAGUUUGAGCGAAGAGCACAUUUCCAGACUGAAAAUGAAAUUGGAGGAGGUGUAGUGACCUCUUAUCAGUCGUCUAACAUAGAGGGCCGCGGGGCAAACAGAGGGUCUGAACCAAAGAGCGAUUAAACCGGCAAUUACAUCAGAUGGAGGUGGAUGUAGCAGAUGAGAAGCGCCAUUGCACACGCUCAAAAGGUAUUCUCCUUUCCAUCACUUACACAUAACACACAGAUGUAAUGUGGCGAUAUGGUC
rnacentral:lncRNA from 1 species